UGUAACGGCGGUGUCCGCAAUCUAUGCGUUACGCAUCGAUAUCCGAAGACUGCGCACUGCGUUCGAGGGCAAAAUUUUGCUUUAAGGCUUAUUUAAUGCUGACAAGUAACGUUCCGCGGCUGGGAUUGCAUCAGGACCCAUUAGAUUGGCCUCUUUCUUUGGUUGUUAACGUGUUCCGGUUUCACUCAGUGAUUCAGACGGCGAGAGCUCAGCAAAUUAAAGCAUCCCGGAGUCGGAAGCUGCUGGAUGGAGAGUCGCUGCGCUAGAUCUGUCCAAGCAACGAGGUCUGGUAUAACCUGGAGUUUCUGCGGGUUUCAGAAGAUGGAGGCUGCUUCACUGGAGUCUCCAAUGGCUUCUUGUGACUGAUUUGCAACUUUGAGAGUUCCCAGAUGUGGAUUGUUAAGUAUGUGCUUCAGGCUGAACUGCAAGAGAAACUCAGAGGCAUCUCCCUGCAGGUGUCCGAAAGGAAGUGUGCCCUUGAAUCACCAAGGUAUGGCAGGUACGGACCAAGUGCUGAUAAUUGAGAUUAGUUUGGGUGGGUCAGCAUGGUGUGGUGGGCCGAAGGGCCUGUUUGUAUGUUAUAGAGUACUGUCAGAGAGUAGAGGCCAUUUAGUCCAUCUGCAGGCCAUGCCAGCAGGGUUUUUCCACUGCAUUUGGGUGAGAUGAGAACUAGAGGUCAUGGUUUAGGGUGAAAGGUGAACCCGAGGGGGAGCUUCUUCCCUCAGAGGGUGAUGCAAGUGUGGAGAAUGAGGGGAGAUUUAACUGAGGUAUACACAAUUAUGAACUGUAUUACAGCAGCGGUCCCCAACCACUGGGCCGCAAAGCAUGUGCUACGAUAUGAGUCAGCUGCACCUUUCCUCAUUCCCUGUCACGCACUGUUGAACUUGAACAUAGGGUUGCCAACUGUCCCGUAUUUGCCGGGACAUCCUGUAUAUUGGGCUAAAUUGGUUUGUCCCAUACGGGACCGCCCUUGUCCCGUAUUUCCCCCGCUGAGGUAGAGCGUUCCUAUGAAACCAUUUGUGCCGAAAUGGUGUGAAGCAAAGAAGCAAUUACUAUUAAUUUAUAUGGGAAAAAUUGUUGAGCGAUUCCAGACCCAAAAAAUAACCUAACAAAUCAUACCAAAUAAGACAUAAAACCGAAAAUAACACUAACAUAUAGUAAAAGCAGGAAUGAUAUGAUAAAUACACAGCCUAUAUAAAGUAGAAAUAAUGUAUGUACAGUAUAGUCGGGAAGAUUAAGCCAAAACCAGAUUUGUGGGGAAAAAAUUGGCACGUACAUGCAUGCGCACACAGGUGCCUGCGCAAGGCUUCAUGGUCAUGGUAGUUUUUCCUGGGGUAAACACAAGUGUCCCGGGAUUUGACUGCUACUUUUGUCCCUUAUUUGGGAGUGAGAAAGUUGGCAACCCUACUUGGACACCCCCUCCCCCCCUCGGCCAGUCCGCAAGAAUAUUGUCAAUAUUAAACUGGUCUGCGGUGCAAACCCCUGGUUUACAGGGUAAAUGUAAGCAGGCUUGUUCCACUGUAGUUGGGCGAGACAAGAACCAGAGAUCAUGGGUUAAGGGUGAAACAUGAAAUGUUUAAGGGGAUCCUGAGGAGGGCCUUCUUCAUUCAGAGGAUGGUGAGUGUGUGGAACGAGCUGCCAGUGGAAAUGGUGGAAGUAGGUUCGAUUUCAACAGUUAAGAGAAAUUUGGAUAGGUACAUGUAUGGGAGGGAUAUGGAGAUACAGUAUAUGGUCUGAGUGCAGGUCCAUGUGAGACUAGGCAGAUUAGUAGUUUGACAUGUGAUAUCAGUCUGAGGAUGGUCUCCGUAGUUUGUCGUUGGCUCCCCUGGUGAAUGCAAUGGGGAAGGAUAACUCAUUGAUGGAGGGGAGGUGGACAGCAUGGGAAUGGUGAUCCCAGACAGGGAGAGAGGAUUGACUCAGUCAGAGUAAAUUCUGCUUCUCUUUAUCUCUCUCCUGGUGCCUUGGCUGUUACACUGCGGGUUCUGGGGUCUGGAGUAUGGGCCAUGAGCAGUGUCUACAACAGCUGAGACAGAGGUCAAAAUAAAUUUAUUAUCAAAGUACGUGUACAGUAUGUCACCAUGUAUUACCUAGAGGCAUUUUCUUGCGGGUAUUUAUAAGAAAUAGAAGAGAACUUAUGAAAAACUAUAGGACACAGAACUUUACAGCACAGUACAGGCCUAAAAUGUUGUGCUGAUCUUUUAACCUACUCUACAAUCAAUCUAACCCUUCCCUCCCUACAUUUUUCUAUCAUCAUGUGCCUUUUUGAGUUUCUUAAACGUUCCACAUUUAUCAGCCUCUACCACCACCCAGAGCAAGGCGUUUCACAUACCCACCACUCUGUGUGUAAAGUACUUGCCUCUGAAGACCCCCCCCGUACUUCCCUCCAAUCACCUUAAAAUUAUGCCCCCUCGUAUUAGCCACUUCCACCCUGGGAAAAAGUCUCUGGCUGUCCCUCUUAUCAUCUUCUCAAACUAUAUAUAAACAAAGACCGAAAAACACCCAAUGUGCAAAAGAAGACAAAUUGUACAAAUAAAAAACAAAUAAAAAUAUUGAGAAUGUGAGCUGUAAAACACUUUGAAAGUGAGUCCAUUGGUUGUGGAAUCAGUUCAGUGUUGAGGUGAGUGAUGUUACCAUUUCCAAUUUGGGAACCUGAUGCUUGAAGGGUAAGGAUUGUCCCUAAAUCUGGUGGAAAGAUGCCAAAAGCCACUGCACUAAUUCCAGUCUCGGCACAACCCCAACAUUAAUUUGACACCUCUACCUGAGCCUAAAUUUCGAAAUUCCAUUCCUAAGUCACUCCAGCUUAAGUCCUGAUGAAGGAUCUUGGCCUGAAACUUUGACUAGCUAAACAUUCUAAAACCAAUUCCCAUUCCCGUUCCGUUUUGGUCCAUGGCCUCCUCUUGUGCCAAGGUGAGGCCACCCUCAGGGUGGAGGAGCAACACCUUAUAUUCUGUCUGGGCAGCCUCCAACCUGAUGGCAUGAAUAUUGAUUUCUCCUUCCAGUAAACAGAUUCCCUCUACCCCUUCCUCUAUUCCGCACUCUGACCUUUUACUUCUCACCCUCUUGUUACUUCCCCCUGGGUCCCCUCCUCCUUCCUCUUCUAUGGUCCACUCUCCUCUCCUAUCAGGUUUUUUUCCUUCUGCAGCCCUUGACCUUUUCCAUCCACCUGGCCUCACCUGUUACCUUCCAGCUAGCCUCCAUCCCCUCUCCCCCACCUUUUUAUUCUGGCGUCUUCCCCCUUCCUUCUUGGUCCGAAUGAAGGGUCUCGGCCCGAAACAUUGUCUGUUUAUCCAUUUCCAUAGAUGCUGCCUGACCCGCUGAGUUCCUCCAGCGUUUUGUGUGUGUUGCUCUGGCUCAAACUGUGCUUGUUGGGUCUUUCAGCUUCAUAGCUUCUAAUGAGGUUUGGCAUCAAAAGGAUUCUGUUGAAAUUCCCUGAAGCACUUGGGAUAAUUUAGCAGAUUAAAAGCACUUUAUUAAUACAAAUUGCAUUAUUCUGUAAUUCUGUUGAUUUAAAUUUGGGACACGGGUGAAAUGAAUUGCUUUCAUUAUGUGUUUCAGCAGCCAGGGCUAAAGUCUUGAGAAAUGGGCAUCUAUUGUUUCACCUACAGUACGUGGGCUGUUCAAGUUAAUCAUUAUGUUGAGUUUGGUUCAGCUCAGAUUGCAGAUGGCUGGCAUACAAAACACCGGAACUCAGAAUUGUCUUCCUGUCGGGUAAUGGUUUUGUCAGUGGAGUGUGGGUGGCAAGGUGGUGUGGCGACUAGCAACAUCUCGUAUUCUGUGUGGGUAAUCUCCAAACCUGAACAUCAGUUUCUCUAACUUCAGGUAAUUUCUCCCCCCUCCCAUUUCUGUUUUUUUAAUUCUCUAUUCCAGUUCUCUUCUUGUCUGUUCUCCUCUUCUGCUCACCACCUUCCCUCCGGGCCCCACCUUCUUCCCUUUUUCCCAUGGUCCACAUCUUCUCCUAUCAGAUUCCUCCUUCUUCAGCCCUUAACCUCUUCCACCUAUCCCCUCCCAGCUUCUUACUUCAUCGUCCCUUCCCCCACCCACCAAACUUCCUCCUCAUGUGGUCUCACCCAUCACCUACCAUCUUGUACUUCUCACCUCCCCCACCUUCUUAUGCCAGCUUCUUCUCCCUUCCUGCCCAAUCCUGAGGAAGGGAUUUGGGCUGAAACGUUGGCUAUUUAUUCCCUUCCGUAGAUGCAGCCUGGAACUAGCUUACAUGGGGCGUCUUGGUUAGAAUGAACCAGUUGAAGGGCCUGAUUCUCUGCUGUAUAAGUCUAUGACAGCCAACACUGCAUUUUCUAGUAUCGUUCCUUAGCCUAUUGGAGGACACUCUAUUGGCGUCCUUUUGAAAACCUAGUUCCACAACGUUUCUGUGGUAUUCUUUCUGCAGCUUCAAAAAAAAAGUCGUUUUUGUGUUUGUGUUUGAGAUCUGCGCUGACUUUCCAUUGUUAGACUCUUGGUUUGGGAAGAUAGCGAGGGUGAAUCAGGUGACAUGGAAGAGGGACUGUGGGUAUUUUACACCUCCCUGCUGCUUGAUCAGCUCACCCAAUGAUGAAUGCUCCAUUGUCACUUCGACGUUUGACUGCCUUGCAGUCCUCCAGCUCUUCCGGUGUACAAGGUUUUGUUACCUGUAGCUGGAUGGACAAUGUGUGCAGGAAGUGUUAAGGCAGGGAGGUGUGCACACUUGGUAACACUACAGGUUUUAAUGUUCCCCGGGUGUGCCCGUGGCCCGUCGAACUGAAUUCCAGAAGUGUUUUGUCAUGAGUCUUUGAGGCCGAUUUUGGGCUGAGGGAAUCGGGUAUGCGUCCCAUACAGGAAUGAUCGGCAUUUUUGUCAGCCCUUCUGCACUUGCUGAACCAGUCUUCAUGCUUAUUAUAUUUGUCUCUGAAUUCAGUUCAGAAUGAAGGCAGCCAGUGCUGGAUCAAGAAGACGGUGCCUGUUUAUCCACCUCUUUGAUUGUGUGUGAUUCUCAUAAGUGACUUAUUUUCAAUCUGCGCCAUUCACAGGCUGCUUUCGAUAGUCCAGGUCGCUGAUAGAGCACAUUGUACACUGAUGUGCGAGUUAAUGAGUGCCCGAGGGAUCCUGGUUGAGACUGUGACCUUUGCACUCGGCCCUGAGCGCACCUUGCAGAGACGUCUUCCUCUCGUCUCUCCCUUCCACCUCUCCGUACAGCCGAGGGAGGGGAAACCCUCUCCCCUCCCAAAGGGACCACACAGGAAAAGGGUUUUUGCUGUUCGCGUCUUGCCAGACUGAGAAAAUCCAAAUCAGAUUUAUUAUCAUGAGUAGCAACAGUGCUGUUGGUUUUAAGGAAUGUGAUAGAACAUUACUUUAUCCAUUGACAAUGAUUGUCAGAAGGAAAAACAUUGCACAGUUUAUUACUGUAAAUAUAUUAUAUUAUGAAUAAACUUUGAUUUGAUAUAUGGUGUAAUCAUUGGGAUAGGUUGUGAAAUUUGUUGUUUUGCGGCAGCAUUACAGUGUGAGACAAAAAUACUACAAAUUAUUGUGAGAAAUCUAUAAAAUUAAAUAGUACAAAAGCACUAGGUGGUUAAUCUGAUCAACCAUUCUAGUUAGCCCCCAACCCACUCUAUUACCCCCGUCACUGCACUGUCAACACUUCAAACCCAAGAAACUCUACAGAUGCUGGAAAUCCAGAGUAACACACACACACAAUGCUGGAGGAACUCAGCAGGUCAGGCAGCAUCUACGGAGCUGGAUUACCAGUUGACGUUUCAGGCCAAGACCCUUCUCCAACUUCCGAUAAUCUCUGCCCCCUCCCUCCUCCUUUCUUUUUCCAUUCCCCAUUCUGGUUUCCCUCUCACCUAUUUUCUUCUCUGCACCUACCCAUCACCUCCUGCCUUCCCUUUCUCCCAUUGGCCACUGCUCUCCUAUCAGAUUCCUUCUUCUUCAGCCCUUUACUUUUUCCACCUAUCACCUCCCAGCUUUUCACUUCUUCCCCCCCUCCCCAGCUUCCCAAUCCACCUACCUUCCCUUCACCUGCUCUCACCUGUCACCUGCCAGCUUGUGCUCCUCUUCCCCCCCCCCAAACACUUUAUUCUGGCCUCUGCCCCUUUCCUUUCCAGUCCUGAAGAAAGGUCAAGAAAGGUCUCUGAAGCCAGGACCAAGGAAGGGCCUCAGCACAGAUGCUGGCUGACUUGCUGACUUCUGCCAGCAUUUCUUAUGUGUGUGUUAAACACUUUAAGCAACUUUUUAUAAAGUAACUCUCACAAAAUGCUGGAGGAACUCAGCAGGUCAGGCAGCAUCUAUGGAAAAGAAUGAACAGUCGACAUUCCGGGCCGCGACCCUUCAUCUAAACUUUUUAUAAUGCUUUUACAUUGUUACUGCACACUGGUAUUUGUGUAUUCAUGCACAUUUUCUUCCAUAUCUGUACUUUAACCUCUAACUUUAUGUUUUACAUGUAAUUCUUUAUUAUAACUGUUGAAUGUUGUUUUUGUUACGUGUCACACCAAAACACCACCACAAAUUCCACCCCUCCACAUUCCCAACCACCACUACGUUAUCAUUUCCUGUCAGUCACCUGAUGUACAGACACUCCUGUGCCUAGCGUCAUUUAGUGGACAUAGAAUCAAUCUAUGCAUGGAAGCUAUCUUGUGUAUUUAUAUUUAUUGUGGGCUUUUUUUUAUUAUUAUUGCGUUCUUUAUCUUAUUGUGUUUUUUUUGUACUGCAUCAGAUCCGGAGUAACAAUUAUUUCGUUCUCCUUUACACCUGUGCACUGGAAAUGACAUUAAACAAUCUUGAAUCGUACUGCAUGUGAUGAAUAAAGGUGAUCUUUGAUCUUCCUCCUCCUUGAAAGAGAGGAGAUUAAAAUAGUGAGGUGGUGCUCGUGGAGGGGAAGAGGAGAGAGGAAUGUGACCAGUAUAGGACUGAGCUGGCAGUUUUCGUUCGGUUAACCACUCACCCAACUGGUUUGCAUGCUUCUAAUAUUUGUACUUGUCACCGCUCAGCUGCGGGAGGCAGAGCGAGGCUAAUUGGAGCACUGCAUGUUUAGCGGCAGGUUCAGUCUCCUGCUGGUUGUCACUGGCCCGUUGCCGUGGCGUGUUUUCCUCCCUCCCUCCUGAGUUUGUGCCAAUGUCAUCUGUAAAAAUUCUCUUGACAAGGCCAAGGGGGGAAUGGGGGGGGGUUGCUGAACUUCAGAAUCAGAUGACAAGAGGGUUGUGAUUCACAGCUAGGUGCAGUUGCUGUCAAGACUAGGACUGUCACUAGGUAUGCGAGGAGCAAGCAGGUGAUCAGGAACAAGAACUCCCUGUGCAGGUAAGCAGCAGGGAGGCAGAAUGCUUCGAACAUCCCUCGAGGAAACUUUGCUGCCUCAGGAGAUAGCUCUGCAACUAGCUGUGAUGUUGGGAAGCUGAUCCGAGCGGACAGGUAGACUUCUCUUUCUCUUUUAUAACUCAGGCUGUGUACCGAAACCGUGCUUUGCCAACAUUUCAGUGUACGCUGGGGCAGAAUGUUUUUCUUGUGUGAUUGACUUUGUCCUCAUUAAUUCAGUCAUGUUUAAUCUUGCUCUGGGUCGUCUUUGAAACAAACUCUGGGUUUGUGUCGAUUAUCAAAUGUGUUCUGGUAUCUGUCGUUGGCUGUAAGACAUUUGAGGUUUGCUGCAGUGAAAGACGCAAUUAUAAGCUAAUGCUUCCUCCUGGCAGAGAAGAUUUUGAACAAAAUAAGCAAAGAAAGAGAUUAUUUAUUUACUUAGAGAUAAAGUGCGGAACAGGCCUUUCCGGUUUAUUGAGACACUCCGCCCAGAAACCCACCGAUUUAACCCUCGCCUAAUCACAGGACAACCUACAGCGACCGAUUCACCGAUAACCGGUACGUACGUCUUUGGACUGAGGGAGGAAAUGAGAGCACCCAGAGGAAACCCACGCAUAUCACGGGGAGAACAUACACAAACCCUUUACAGACGGCGCCGGAAUUGAACUCCGAACUCUGACAUCUAUCAUGCAUUACUACCAUACUGUGGUAUCCUACAAGAAUAAAACGUAACCUUAGUGACUUGUGUCACACGAUUUUGAUAAGGUCAAGAGGAAAGGGACCAUUAUGUUAUCAAAUUCUGGUAAUGUGUUCCUAGAUAAUACAUUUUUUUUUUGUUGAGCAACACACACACAAAGUGCAUUUCAGGCCGAGACCCUCCGUCAGGACUGGAAAGGAAGAAUAAGAAGGUGAGGGGGAGUGGAAGGAGGACAAGCUGACAGGUGAUAGGUAAAUCACAAACGAGAAAAUCUGUAGAUACUGGUGAUGGGUGGAUAGGGGAGGCAGGAUGAAGUAAGAAGCUGGGAGGGGAUUGGUGGGAGAGGUAAA